rnacentral:lncRNA from 1 species
ACCCCAAAGAAAAACUAUACCAGAUUCUAUACCUCCAAGGGGAUAACUCCCUAGCAUUGUACCCUCUAAUACAACACUCAAGACUGCCGAGAAAAGGGGGGACAAGAUGCUAACCUUAGGCUUUGGACUUUUCUCUUUCUUUUUAUCAACUUCUGUUUUUCCACACCUCUUCUACUUUUCAUAUACACACGCACAAGGAAGGUAUAUCAGAAAAUCAUAAUACUUUCGGUUGAAAAUUUAGUAAACUCAACCUCCUGUGCAGGCCCGCGGGAAUGAGAGCAGGGAAUGAUCCUCUUCGUCUUUACUUCUCCACGCACCGGCGGAUGAUAGCAGCAAUCGGCGAAAUUGUUCGAUCUCGGUCCUCUUGCUCCGACUCCGCCAACCGCCUCACCAUCCCAAAUCCUAUGCCUUGAUUAAGCUUCAAUAGCUCAAAAUUUCUGUUCAAUUUUGCACUAAAACCCUAAGUACUACUGCACCGUUCGUCUGUAACGAGAGAGAAAGAGUGAA